UCCAAUUAUUUAAGAAAAUCGAGUAAGGAUAUUGUUGGUGUCCUUAACUCAAGAAUUUAGUUUUCAAUUAUUUAUUUACUAAAUUUUGAAAACCCGGCUAAGUGAAUCAUAGAAUGUUAAGCACUACACCAUGACUUAAGAUUAGAUUCAAGGAGACCUAUUAAGAAUAGAAUUUCUUGUAGGCUUUGUGGACCAAGGGGAUUAGCACUGCUUUCCCAAGACAGGUUUAUAUGUGAUUAUGAUCUUCAGGCUUUGCCUAUCCAGGUGGGCUUACUUUCCAAAUGUACAAAGUAUGAUUGAGUUAUUAAGCUCUAAAUGUUUCAAUGAAAUGCAAAUUGUUUAUUUAAUGUAAUGAAAACUGUUUAUCCAAUAAAAUGUUUAUGUGCACUCUGCUCUGUUUAAGGCUCGCGCAGUUAAUCAAUUGAGGUUCUCUUAUGACCUAAUACGUUGUUUGAGAAUUGUGUACACUUGUUAGUUGACUCGGUGGGUUGAUCUCCAUCGGGCUCUAACCAGAGGCGUUAUAAGGGUGCUCGGCUGGAUGUGUUCCGGAGCAUGAGAAAUAUCAGGCCUGCCUGGGUAGCGUCCCGAGGUCAAUUCAACUUGUCUGAGUUACGUCCUCAGGGCAAGUGUCAGCGGGAGACAGAGAUCCGUCGGUGGCUAGAGGUCCGGGAUCACAGCGAGUAACAGAAAGGGAGUGUGACAUGUUGGCUGGCCGGUGCUGACGGGACGGAGCUGAGGCUAGUGAUAAAUUCUUAUGUUAGACUUCCGCUGUAGCAAUUACUCAUAUUAGUCUUUUGUUUUCCCAACUUAAGAUCUUCAUGUUAAAUUUCAAAUGAUAUAUUUGACCGAACUUAGGCUCUUCACUACUAAAUUUAUGCAAAUGAAUGUCGGUUGUCAGAAGCAUGAAACAAAACUUGUGAUCCAAAGGGGCAUAGCCCGGCUUUCUAUCCUAUUUCGGGUUUUAACAAGGUUUUUCCCUUGUUUAUUUCCAUGAAUUAUUUAUACCUCGAUUAUAUUUAUUCAUUCA